ensembl:lncRNA
GACAAAGUUCCAGCAAAAGAGUUCCAGCAAAGUGUUAACUCCUUUGUGCCCAGGGCAGAGAGUAGUGGCUCUUCUAAUACCUACUGAACCUGUUAUAAGCCCUCCAGAGGGUAGAUGCGCAUAUACCACAGAUCAAAAAUUCAAACGCCCUGCCUUCUCUGCAGCCAGAACCAAGCACAGCUUGCAGAUGGGUAUUCUGGGAGUUGAGCCUCCCAAACUCAUUCCCACCAGGAACAGCCAUCCAGCUCCUACACCAGGAACAGAGGAGGUGGGAGGUUAGUGUGGCGGAGAGCAGAGGAGGCAGCCUGUGUAUGGCCAGAGGGGAACGAGAUCAGCUCCACUGGUGAGGAAAAUGCAGGUCAAUGAAGCAAAUAGUCCGUAUAAGGUUACAGAUGGAGGAAGUGGAAUGUGCCAGGUGCACUGGACUUCUUUUCCUCCACACUGUUAGGGUUCUGCUAACCGGACGGGUGGCCCCAGAGCAGGCAGGCCCUGGCUGGGGGCCAAGCCUAAAGGCCUCUCUCUCCUGGAGAAGGCCUGGCUGGCAAUCGCGGAGGCCAUCUGUGAAGGGCUGUCUGGUCUCCAAUUCCUCGAUCCUGGAGAGGGGUGAGAGGGGAUGUUACGAUGGAAGUGUCUGCUGAGUUCUGAAGAUGACAGCCAUCGGUUCCCAGAGUCACCACAGCAAAAUGCAAAUUAAAAAGAG